rnacentral:lncRNA from 1 species
GCAGAGAACCAGAAAGUAAGCAUAAAGGUGAGAAACAACUGAAUGCUGUUCUUUGGCUUAGUUCAAUUUGUAGAGAUAGUGCUCAUUUUAACUCUGGCUGUCACUCUUUGGGAGCUGACAUUACUAAUACAAUCACGUUGCAUUGUAUUAUUCUGAUGUUGCUUAAAUAAUUUCUAAUCUACAGUUGUUUACAGAUAAUGGAAAUCCUUUCCAGAGCUAAAGAGCUUUUAUUUGAAAUUUAAAAAUACAUACAAAUUCAUAAAAGAUGGUUUCAACCUAGCACAUGUAGCUGGGAUCCUAAUUGAAAAGUAACGUAAAAUCUGUAUAUAUUAUUGAGUUUUGAUAUUCUCCAAUCAAGGAGAAGAGAUAAGAGAGUGGAGGAGUGCAGUGAUGUGGCAAUGUCUGUGACAGCAGCGGGAUAGGUCACAAUGGGGGGGAAUGUGUCAGGAGGCUAUAAAAGAGGCAGUGCUGUGGCCUGGGCCUUUGCUUAUGGCAUGCACCUGCUAGUGGCUGUGGCUUGGGUGGUCUUCAUCACUCAAGGUUUAGCACUUUAUAUGGCUGACAAGUGCUAACUGCUGGAGGAGCUGGUGGAUGACCUUCUUCAUGCCUGCCCAGAUUUCCCCUGGGCACACCUUCCACCUGAAGCUGGGCAGAGUGUUGUAGACUGUUGAGAAAGUGAUAAUGGCUCCAAGGUGCUGUAUUUCUCAGACUGAAGAACUGAGAAUGGCAUGGAACUGUUUCAUGGGAUAGUCUGCUUGGAUACUAGGUAAGGGGUUAUCUCUGAGAGUGUGGUUAGGUAUUGGAAAAAGCUCUCCAGGGCAGUGGUCUUAGUACCAGUCUUUUGGCAUUAAGAAAGCUGCUGGACAGCAGUUAGAUGUAUGGUUUGAUUUUUGGUUGGUGAUCUUCAGUGCCAGGGUUUUUACUCAACAAUCCUUAUAUUUUCCAAUUCAAUACAUGUUUCAAUGUUUUCUAUGCUUUAAAAUGUAGGGUAUGCCUAACACUUGGCGGAGAAUAAAAGGGGAUUUCUACAAGAUGUGGGUUGUGGA